AAGCCAAACCGUUCUAUCGCUACUGAUUUAUCAGUGGAGGAAAGUCCGGACACCAUAGGACAGCAUAGUGGGUAACGCCCAUCACUGAGACCGAAAGGUUUUGGGAGGACAAGUGCAACAGAAAGGAUGUACAGGUAAUGCUGUAGUGAAAUCAGGUAAACUCUAUGUGGUGAAAUGCUAUGUAUAUCGGCUAUUAAGGGUGGUCCGCCCGUUGUCGAGGGGUAAGCAGCUAGAGUGUAUUGGCAACAAUGCACCCAGAUAAAUGAUAGAACCAGACAGAAUCCGGCUUAUAGGUUUGGCGUUUUU
rnacentral:RNase_P_RNA from 1 species